UGAAGCCCUCGAUUCUCUUAGUAUCUGCGAUCUAAACCUCUCCUCAAUUGACUACGCAGAUUUAAACCUUCUCCUACCCAACUCUUUUCCUUGAACGGCCACACCUUCUCCUCCCUUGCUCUUCUACCGAUUGACGACGCCUUCUCCUCCUUAGUUCUUCUCCUCGAUCGACAACGUCUUCUCCUCCUUAACUCUUCUCCUCGAUCGACAACGCCUUCUCCUCCUUAGCUCUUCUCCUCGAUCGACAACGUCUUCUCCUCCUUUGCUCUUCUCCUCGAUCGACGACGUAAUGGUUAGGGUUCUGUAUUUCUUAAUCUAUUGUUAGGGUUCUUUAUUUUAUAAUCUAUAGUUUUUAGUUAUUUUUCAUAUAAUUAGGGAGGUAUAAAAGAACAAAGCUCUGAUUCGAAAUAAUUAGGGCAUUGGCCUUCACUUCAAAUUGGGGAAAAUAGCUUCUUCAGGAAAAUCUAUCAGGCAUUCAGGCAGGCUAUCUAUGAUAGAGAAUCCAGAAAAUAGUAUGCUUUGAGUACAAUAAACAUUGGAGAAGAGUCUGAAAAGCUAAAUGGUUGGGUUGUUUAUUUUAAUUUGGAAAUCGAAUAUGGAAAUCCUCCAUAGGAAGCGGUUAUGAAAGUGUUUCAAAGAGCAUUGCAGUAUUGUGAUUCGAAGAAGGUGCAGCUGGCUUUAUUGGGUGUGUAUGAGCGGACUGAGCAGCACAAGCUGGGUGAUGAGCUGCUAGAGAAAAUGGUGAAGAAGUUCAAGCAUUCCUGCAAGGUUUGGCUGAGGCGUAUACAGUGGGCAUUAAAGAAAAACCACGACAACAGUUAGUCUAUUGUAAACUGUGCUCUCGUAUGUCUGCCCAGGCAUAAGCACAUAAAAUUUAUAACACAAACAGCAAUUCUGGAGUUUAAAUGUGGGGUGGCUGAUAGGGGAAGAUCCAUGUUUGAAAAAAUGCUUAAGGAGUAUCCAAAACGAACCGACUUGUGGAGUGUUUAUCUUGAUCAGAACAUCAAAGGAGGAAAGGAGGUUUUUGAUAGGGAAUUAUAGGGAGAGUAAUGGGCAAAAGAGCAAUGUGGCACGUAGUUUCACCUUCAAGGAACUCGCAAUAGCCACCCAAAAUUUUAAGGAAUCCAAUCUACUAGGAGAAGGUGGGUUCGGGAGCGUGUACAAAGGAGUCUUCGA